rnacentral:rRNA from 1 species
GAUGAACGCUAGCUACAGGCUUAACACAUGCAAGUCGAGGGGCAGCAUGGUCUUAGCUUGCUAAGGCCGAUGGCGACCGGCGCACGGGUGAGUAACACGUAUCCAACCUGCCGUCUACUCUUGGACAGCCUUCUGAAAGGAAGAUUAAUACAAGAUGGCAUCAUGAGUCCGCAUGUUCACAUGAUUAAAGGUAUCCCGGUAGACGAUGGGGAUGCGUUCCAUUAGAUAGUAGGCGGGGUAACGGCCCACCUAGUCUUCGAUGGAUAGGGGUUCUGAGAGGAAGGUCCCCCACAUUGGAACGGAGACACGGUCCAAACUCCUACGGGAGGCAGCAGUGAGGAAUAUUGGUCAAUGGGCGAGAGCCUGAACCAGCCAAGUAGCGUGAAGGAUGACUGCCCUAUGGGUUGUAAACUUCUUUUAUAAAGGAAUAAAGUCGGGUAUGCAUACCCGUUCGCAUGUACUUUAUGAAUAAGGAUCGGCUAACUCCGUGCCAGCCGCCGCGGUAA